rnacentral:tRNA from 1 species
GUCCCCAUCGUCUAGAGGCCCAGGACAUCGCCCUUUCACGGCGGUGACGGGGGUUCGAAUCCCCCUGGGGACG